rnacentral:rRNA from 1 species
AUGAUCGCUUGGUUCGCUAGAAGAUUAUGCAGAUACUCCUCGAUGUUUCUCGAGACCCUGUGCCAACUGCCUUGCAGUUCCCGACCACCGAUAAUCCCCAUGAAUAACAUCCUUGCCGCUUGUACCUUCAUCCCUAGUUGCUCCUAUUAUUACAAGAUACCACUAGUACUCUCCGUUGUUCCGAGAAUCCUUUAUGCCUUCUACUUGCAGCUUCUUUUCGAACUGCGGAUAAUUCACUUAACCGGGGUUCGUUCAACCCCAGCUGUUCAUUUGCUUUCGAAAAUACCUGAAAAAGCUAUCUGA